AUCGCUUCUCGGCCUUUUGGCUAAGAUCAAGUGUAGUAUAGUAAAGCAUCAAACAUUAAAAACUAAAUAAAAUUAAAAUAUCAACAACCUCA